CACGAAAGUGUGAACCAGCGACGCCGCGUGAAGGAUGAAGGCCCUCUGGGUCGUAAACUUCUUUUAUGGGAGAGAAGGGGGCGCAAGCCUCUUGACGGUAUCCCGUGAAUAAGCCACGGCUAACUACGUGCCAGCAGCCGCGGUAAUACGUAGGUGGCAAGCGUUGUCCGGAUUUACUGGGCGUAAAGCGAACGCAGGCGGGCCUUUAAGUAGGAAGUGAAAGGUUGGAGCUUAACUCUAACACUGCUCCCUAUACUGGAGGUCUUGAGUGGCGGAGAGGAAAACGGAACAAGUUGUGUAGCGGUGAAAUGCGUUGAUAUAACUUGGAACACCAAUGGCGAAAGCAGUUUUCUGGACGCAGACUGACGCUGAGGUUCGAAAGCCAAGGUAGCAAACAGGAUUAGAUACCCUGGUAGUCUUGGCCAUAAACGAUGUUCACUAGGUGUUGGGGGGUAACCCUCGGUGCCGCAGCUAACGCAUUAAGUGAACCGCCUGGGGACUACGGCCGCAAGGUUG
rnacentral:rRNA from 1 species